rnacentral:rRNA from 1 species
UACGGGGGGGGCAAGCGUUGUUCGGAAUUACUGGGCGUAAAGGGCUCGUAGGCGGCCAACUAAGUCAGACGUGAAAUCCCUCGGCUUAACCGGGGAACUGCAUCUGAUACUGGAUGGCUUGAGUUCGGUAGGGGAGACUGGAAUUCCUGGUGUAGCGGUGAAAUGCGCAGAUAUCAGGAGGAACACCGGUGGCGAAGGCGGGUCUCUGGGCCGAUACUGACGCUGAGGAGCGAAAGCGUGGGGAGCGAACAGG